rnacentral:rRNA from 1 species
GACGAACGCUGGCGGCGUGCCUAAUACAUGCAAGUAGAACGCACAGUUUAUACCGUAGCUUGCUACACCAUAGACUGUGAGUUGCGAACGGGUGAGUAACGCGUAGGUAACCUGCCUGGUAGCGGGGGAUAACUAUUGGAAACGAUAGCUAAUACCGCAUAAUAUUAAUUAUUGCAUGAUAAUUAAUUGAAAGGUGCAAUUGCACCACUACCAGAUGGACCUGCGUUGUAUUAGCUAGUAGGUGAGGUAACGGCUCACCUAGGCGACGAUACAUAGCCGACCUGAGAGGGUGAUCGGCCACACUGGGACUGAGACACGGCCCAGACUCCUACGGGAGGCAGCAGUAGGGAAUCUUCGGCAAUGGACGAAAGUCUGACCGAGCAACGCCGCGUGAGUGCAGAAGGUUUUCGGAUCGUAAAGCUCUGUUGUAAGAGAAGAACGGGUGUGAGAGUGGAAAGUUCACACUGUGACGGUAGCUUACCAGAAAGGGACGGCUAACUACGUG